rnacentral:rRNA from 1 species
GCUAUGAGCGANGCCGCGUGGGGGAUGAAGGGUUUCGAUCGUAAACCCCUGUCAUUUGCGAACAAACCUUAUGCAAUAACACUGCAUGAGUUGAUUGUAGUGAAAGAGGAAGGGACGGCUAACUCUGUGCCAGCAGCCGCGGUAAUACAGAGGUCCCGAGCGUUGUUCGGAUUCACUGGGCGUAAAGGGUGCGUAGGUGGCCACGGUAAGUUUGAUGUGAAAUGCUCGGAGCUUAGCUCCGAAAUGGCAUUGAAUACUCUCUGGCUUGAGGGUUGGAGGGGAGACUGGAAUUCUCGGUGUAGCAGUGAAAUGCGUAGAUAUCGAGAGGAACACCAGUGGCGAAGGCGAGUCUCUGGACAACACCUGACACUGAGGCACGAAAGCUAGGGGAGCAAACAGGAUUAGAUACCCUGGUAGUCCUAGACUGUAAACGGUGCACGUUUGCUGUAAGCAGGAAUCGACCCCAUUUUGCGGCGAAGCGUAACGCGAUAAACGUGCCGCCUGGGGAGUACGGUCGCCAAGAUUAAAACUCAAAGAAAUUGACGGGGAGCCUNCACAAGCGGUGGAGUAUGUGGCUUAAUUCGAUGCAACGCGAAGAACCUUACCUGGCCUUGACAUGCACGUANUAAGAGUGUGAAAGCCAUAACGAACCUCGCAAGAGGGAGCGUGCACAAGGUGCUGCACUUGGCCUGUCGGUCAAGCUCGUGU